GUGGGGAAUAUUGGGCAAUGGGCGAAAGCCUGACCCAGCAACGCCGCGUGAAGGAAGAAGGUCUUCGGAUCGUAAACUUCUAUCCUUGGUGAAGAUAAUGACGGUAGCCGAGAAGGAAGCCCCGGCUAACUACGUGCCAGCAGCCGCGGUAAUACGUAGGGGGCAAGCGUUGUCCGGAAUGAUUGGGCGUAAAGGGCGCGUAGGCGGCCUGGUAAGUCUGGAGUGAAAGUCCUGCUUUUAAGGUGGGAAUUGCUUUGGAUACUGUCGGGCUUGAGUGCAGGAGAGGUAAGUGGAAUUCCCGGUGUAGCGGUGAAAUGCGUAGAGAUCGGGAGGAACACCAGUGGCGAAGGCGACUUACUGGACUGUAACUGACGCUGAGGCUCGAAAGCCAGGGGAGCGAACGGGAUUAGAAACCCCGGUAGUCC
rnacentral:rRNA from 1 species